AUGACUUGUGGAUCGGAGUGAAAGGCUAAUCAAGCCCGGAGAUAGCUGGUUCUCCCCGAAAGCUAUUUAGGUAGCGCCUCGGACGAAUACCACAGGGGGUAGAGCACUGUUUCGGCUAGGGGGUCAUCCCGACUUACCAACCCGAUGCAAACUCCGAAUACCUGUGAGUACUAUCCGGGAGACACACGGCGGGUGCUAACGUCCGUCGUGAAGAGGGAAACAACCCAGACCGCCAGCUAAGGUCCCAAAAUAUUGCUAAGUGGUAAACGAUGUGGGAAGGCAUAGACAGCUAGGAGGUUGGCUUAGAAGCAGCC
rnacentral:rRNA from 1 species